rnacentral:rRNA from 1 species
UACGUAGGGUGCAAGCGUUAAUCGGAAUUACUGGGCGUAAAGCGUGCGCAGGCGGUUUGUAAGUCUGUCGUGAAAGCCCCGGGCUCAACCUGGGAAUUGCGAUGGAGACUGCAAGGCUUGAAUCUGGCAGAGGGGGUAGAAUUCCACGUGUAGCAGUGAAAUGCGUAGAUAUCUGGAGGAACACCGGUGGCGAAGGCGGCAUUCUGGACCGAUAUGACGCUGAGGAGCGAAAGCCAGGGGAG